AGAUGAAUGAGAAGAUAGGAUUAAUGAUGAAAGUGGCGGGUCCACUAUGUUUUUGAUCUUUGAUAUUUAUAUUUGUAUGGUGAACAGUAGUGAUAUUUGUUGAGUGUCAGUGGGGAUUGCCUCUAUAUAAUUGUAUAGUUUGUGACUUUAGUAAGAAUAGAAAAAACAGAAGAGAAAAUUUGUGAAGGCACAGAGAGGAGGGCCGAAAGUUCAAAGAGACGCAGAGAGAGCUUGAUAUUUCAGUCAUUAUUUAUCAGUUUUCAGGUACUGAGGAUGAACUUGGAUUCAUAGUUGCGGGUUUAGGUGAAAGAGUUAGAGUUGAGGAAUUAAAUUAUUUUAUUUAGAGAUUUUUGUAUAUUUAUUUGAGGAAUUGAUAUUGUAUCAAUAAAAGAGUUUUUCUUUUGA